UACGAAGGGGGCUAGCGUUGCUCGGAAUCACUGGGCGUAAAGCGCACGUAGGCGGCUUGUUAAGUCAGGGGUGAAAUCCUGGAGCUCAACUCCAGAACUGCCUUCGAUACUGGGAGUCUCGAGUUCGGGAGAGGUGAGUGGAACUGCGAGUGUAGAGGUGAAAUUCGUAGAUAUUCGCAAGAACACCAGUGGCGAAGGCGGCUCACUGGCCCGAUACUGACGCUGAGGUGCGAAAGCGUGGGGAGCAAACAGG
rnacentral:rRNA from 1 species